rnacentral:lncRNA from 1 species
ACGGAAAAGGGUGAAAAAUACCAGAAGCUAGUACUGAUACAUUACUUACUGAACAAGAGGAAGGGCUUUGGGAUGAUAGAGGUACCAGUCGGAAACACAGUAAAUACAGUAUUAUGAAGUUUUCCGACGGAUGCGGAGCCAGGAUGUUAUUUGGAGUGGAAUAUGAUAAAUCCUGCUGAGGCCAAGUGAUGUAGUUACUUUACAUCGGGAUGAGGACUCUACUACACUAUGCCUGCCUUCACUCUGGUUUUUUACAAGUUUUACAGUUUGUUGAAAUAGCAAAAGCUACCGCGUGGUAUACGUUUUACUGCAGCGAAGAAUAAUCUGUGAACUCCUGGUUUUAGAGAGAAGUGCAAGAUAAUAUUUUAUGCUAAGUCUGUGACAGAUAUAUGGCAGAGAACCAACUGCUGGCUCUAUCAUGGAACUUUUUCUUCAGCCAACACACAGACGCCAAAGGAAGUUUCGUAAGAGUCUUGAGGUGUAACAGAGCAGAGGAAGUCGCCUUCUUUCCUGUCUAUACAGGUGUUAUGUGCAUCCGACUAACAACUGAUGCAAUGGCAACGUUAUGGAGUUUAGGAAGUGAACACUGACGUGAUUUCGUUUUUCAGUAGAGUACGUGUUUGGAGCCAGAAAUCCCUACUGUAUCAUUAAGCAGUCACAGGAAGUAUGACGGCUGAAUAGACGUACAUGUACUGACAUCUCAGGAAGGGGUAUUCCAAUUUAGUAAUUUAGCAAGAGUUUGAAGAAAGUAGGACAGUUUUAUUUGUUAUUGAGUUUCUCAAGUAAGUUGAAUCCAAAGUUACAAAAGGAAAGCCUGCUAGUGCGCCAUAGUGAUAUGUAGUUUUUGAAGACGGUGUUACUGUUUCAGCUUGUUUUGUCUAUUUGCUCACGUCAUAUAUCAGCUGUUGUCUGACGAGUAGAAUCUGAUUUUACACAGCAGGUUUAAAAUAGCUAGUUAUCCUACAUGUGUUCGUGAAUCCAGUGACCGGAUGAGACGUGUUUCUUGUUUUUUUUCCAUCUGAACAGUUCCGUGAAAUGCUUUAAUGUCGUUAUCAAGCUUGUUUUGAAAAACUUUUCCAAUGCUUAUUAAUUUAAGUUGGCUUCAGUUGUCAUCCACGAACACUCAAAGCUUUCACACUACUUCAAAUCUUAAA